UUGGGAGCUCUCCCAUAUGGUCGACCUGCAGGCGGCCGCGAAUUCACUAGUGAUUCGUAUUACCGCGGCUGCUGGCACAGAGUUAGCCGGUGCUUAUUCUGUCGGUAACGUCAAAACACUAACGUAUUAGGUUAAUGCCCUUCCUCCCAACUUAAAGUGCUUUACAAUCCGAAGACCUUCUUCACACACGCGGCAUGGCUGGAUCAGGCUUUCGCCCAUUGUCCAAUAUUCCCCACUGCUGCCUCCCGUAGGAGUCUGGACCGUGUCUCAGUUCCAGUGUGACUGAUCAUCCUCUCAGACCAGUUACGGAUCGUCGCCUUGGUGAGCCAUUACCUCACCAACUAGCUAAUCCGACCUAGGCUCAUCUGAUAGCGCAAGGCCCGAAGGUCCCCUGCUUUCUCCCGUAGGACGUAUGCGGUAUUAGCGUUCCUUUCGAAACGUUGUCCCCCACUACCAGGCAGAUUCCUAGGCAUUACUCACCCGUCCGCCGCUGAAUUCAGGAGCAAGCUCCUGUCAUCCGCUCGACUUGCAUGUGUUAGGCCUGCCGCCAGCGUUCAAUCUGAGCCAGGAUCAAACUCUAAUCGAAUUCCCGCGGCCGCCAUGG
rnacentral:rRNA from 1 species